GGCUCAGAACGAACGCUGGCGGCAGGCUUAACACAUGCAAGUCGAGCGCCUCGCAAGAGGAGCGGCAGACGGGUGAGUAACGCGUGGGAAUCUACCCAUCUCUACGGAACAACUCCGGGAAACUGGAGCUAAUACCGUAUACGUCCUUCGGGAGAAAGAUUUAUCGGAGAUGGAUGAGCCCGCGUUGGAUUAGCUAGUUGGUGGGGUAAUGGCCUACCAAGGCGACGAUCCAUAGCUGGUCUGAGAGGAUGAUCAGCCACAUUGGGACUGAGACACGGCCCAAACUCCUACGGGAGGCAGCAGUGGGGAAUAUUGGACAAUGGGCGAAAGCCUGAUCCAGCCAUGCCGCGUGAGUGAUGAAGGCCCUAGGGUUGUAAAGCUCUU
rnacentral:rRNA from 1 species